CCACUCACCUGAUCUAAUUGGUUUUGUCUUGAUAAACUGCAGACGUGUGAGCGCGUGCGAGAGAGAGCUUCUAAGAGAGAGAGAGAGUGUGUGUGUGUGUUGGGCUAGAGAGACUGGCUUUCAUGUCUCCACUUCAGAGGGCUGGUUUAGACCUUUCAUACCUUGCUAUCUGCCAGACCAAAGGGAAAUAUUUAUAAAUCAUCUGCACAACAAAUAUUGGAUCUGGCCUCGGGUGUCAGGGCCUGUAGAUGGACUCUAGUGACUGAUGUGGAAAUGCACCUCAUCCUACAGUGGAUUGGAUCUUGCUUUGGAGGCUGGGACGGCAUGACAUCACUCACUAUAGAUGUUAUACCCUGCGUUCCUCUUCAGCAGUGCAGUAAAUGACUAAAAUGCACAGGUCUUAAUAUCGCUAGCCCCGCUGCUUCCUUCCAAGCCACCCAAGGGAAAUGUUUGUGUUUUCUGAACAGUUCCCUUAGCGUGGCUGCAGUUCCACCCCCAUCCUCCAGAGGGCAGACUUGUAUCACCUAAGGCUUGCCAGUCCCUGUACUGUAGCUGGGAAGUUUGGGUUUGACAAGCAACUGCAGUGAAGAAACACUGAAGGCAAAGUGCUGGUACAACUCCCCACAGAGAGGAGAGUGUUUUGUGAUGCGGGUGGUGAAAGACUAGGGAAAUCUAGUCUGGCAGCGCUGCUGUAGGCCCAAAAAUCUGGCCUUUUACUCAUUUUGUCAUUGUUGCAUAACCCACAACACUGAUUAAUUUUAUGAACAAUGUUUUCAAUUAGGUCCCCAUCCGUUUGAGUUGUUCACGAUAUCUCUUCCCACUAGCAAGUAUUUCUGCUUAGGUUUUUUUGUGCAUAUUGCCCAAACACAGCCUCACAAGACAAUGACACACAAAAUGAUUGACAGGCCUAUCUUCAGACAUCUGCAGGCCUUAUUUUCAGACAGAUACACCC
rnacentral:lncRNA from 1 species